UGAGGCCUACGGGGGGCAGCAGUGAGGAAUAUUGGUCAAUGGGAGAGAUCCUGAACCAGCCAAGCCGCGUGAGGGAAGACGGCCCUAUGGGUUGUAAACCUCUUUUGUCGGAGAACAAAACCCGGGACGUGUCCCGGACUGCGUGUAUCCGAAGAAAAAGCAUCGGCUAACUCCGUGCCAGCAGCCGCGGUAAUACGGAGGAUGCGAGCGUUAUCCGGAUUUAUUGGGUUUAAAGGGUGCGUAGGCGGAUUUUUAAGUCAGCGGUAAAAUGUCCGGGCUCAACCCGGGCCGGCCGUUGAAACUGG
rnacentral:rRNA from 1 species